GCGGCCCCACCUGUGUGUUUUGCGUCCCCUGACAGCCCUCUCAAUUCCCGAUACCCCUUUAGAGCCAAGGAGUUAGUUUUGUUUUUUCGUGGCAUCUCUCUCCUCCCUUCCUCAGUUGUGGCUUCUCUAGGUUUCUAAGCUCCCCCACAUUUAAUCCUUAAACCAUCUCAGGAACCACAGAUCUCUUGGGAAGAUUCAGUGGACAAUGAAGAAAUAUCUGAAGCUGAUCAAAUUCAGGAUCUUUCGUCCCAGACUCAUGUCUAAUAAUCCAGGAUAGAUUGAUUGCCUACCCAGGCGAGGCCUCACACUAGACUCCUGGAUUAACAAGGAUGAUCCAAGUGGGAGGGAUGCCAUCGAAAUGGUGCCAGAAGCUAUUAGAAGGAUCCCAGAGGGAGGGGCCAACUAUGGGGGAUGGCUUUCCACCAUCUGUCAAGGGGAGUUUAUACUCAUGCUUUUGAGUUUGUUUUUAUAAAAUCUCACUCAGUGGUAAGACUGCCUUUCUCUUUAGCACCCCAGGUCUGUAUUUAAGCCUCCUGAAAUGCUUUAAAAAAAUACAAAUGUAGAGAUACAUUGUCAAUCACAUUUCGUCCCAAGGUUAGGAGGAGAUUCAACCCUUGCCUUCUCUGUUUUGGCAAGGCAGAACUCAGAGG
rnacentral:lncRNA from 1 species